rnacentral:rRNA from 1 species
CCUACGGGCGACAGCAGUGGGGGAUAUUGCACAAUGGGGGAAACCCUGAUGCAGCGACGCCGCGUGGGUGAAGAAGUAUUUCGGUAUGUAAAGCCCUAUCAGCAGGGAAGAAAGAAGACGGUACCUGACUAAGAAGCCCCGGCUAACUACGUGCCAGCAGCCGCGGUAAUACGUAGGGGGCGAGCGUUAUCCGGAUUCACUGGGUGUAAAGGGAGCGUAGACGGCCGUGCAAGCCAGGAGUGAAAGCCCGGGGCCCAACCCCGGGACUGCUCUUGGAACUGUGCGGCUGGAGUGCGGGAGGGGCAGGCGGAAUUCCUGGUGUAGCGGUGAAAUGCGUAGAUAUCAGGAGGAACACCGGCGGCGAAGGCGGCCUGCUGGACCGCGACUGACGUUGAGGCUCGAAAGCGUGGGGAGCGAACAGGAUUAGAUACCCUAGUAGUC